rnacentral:tRNA from 1 species
GAUUCAUUAGUCCAAUUAAGACAACU